CUUAUACUUCCUUCGUCCCAAAAUUCUUAUCUUAAAUUUAUUUAGAUAUAAAUGUAUUUAGUCACGUUUUAAUAUCUGGAUACAUUCAUUUUUAAACAAACAUAAGACAAGAAUUUUAAGACGGAGGGGGUAUUAU
rfam:Hordeum vulgare subsp. vulgare, WGS project CAJW01000000 data, contig: morex_contig_56807